rnacentral:rRNA from 1 species
AAUGAACCGGCGAGUUACGAUUUGAUGCAAGGUUAAGCAGUAAAUGUGGAGCCGUAGCGAAAGCGAGUCUGAAUAGGGCGUUUAGUAUUUGGUCGUAGACCCGAAACCAGGUGAUCUACCCUUGGUCAGGUUGAAGUUCAGGUAACACUGAAUGGAGGACCGAACCGACUUACGUUGAAAAGUGAGCGGAUGAACUGAGGGUAGCGGAGAAAUUCCAAUCGAACCUGGAGAUAGCUGGUUCUCUCCGAAAUAGCUUUAGGGCUAGCCUCAAGUGAUGAUUAUUGGAGGUAGAGCACUGUUUGGACGAGGGGCCCCUCUCGGGUUACCGAAUUCAGACAAACUCCGAAUGCCAAUUAAUUUAACUUGGGAGUC